rnacentral:rRNA from 1 species
GACGAACGCUGGCGGUGUGCUUAACACAUGCAAGUCGAACGAAGUGGCGAACGGGUGAGUAACGCGUAAUCAACCUGCCCUUCAGAGGGGGACAACAGUUGGAAACGACUGCUAAUACCGCAUACUGCAGGACGGAUUGCGUCUGAUUAGCUAGUCGGAGGGGUAACUGCCCACCAAGGCGAUGAUCAGUAGGCGGGCUGAGAGGAUGGACGGCGACAGUGGGACUGGGACACAGCCCAGAAUCCUACGGGAGGCAGCAGUGGGGAAUCUUCCGCAAUGGACGAAAGUCUGACGGAGCAACGCCGCGUGAGUGAUGACGGCCUUCGGGUUGUAAAGCUCUGUUAAUCGGGACGCGGUACCGGAAGAAAAAGCCACGGCUAACUACGUGCCAGCAGCCGCGGUAAUUC